AGAUGCUUAUAUAUUUUGAUGCAGGUGGAAAAUAUAAAGAAUAGUAGGCUUGACCGAGAGAAGAAUAUGGGGAUGGGAUCAAGAUCAUUGGAGCUUUGAAAACCUAGACUAUCAGAGGAAACAGGGCAAGACAGAAGGAUUCACAAAUCAGGAACAAAUAUGUACAUGAAGGGAAAAAAAUGGAUGCGUGACAAAUACCAAUCCCACAGGAACAGCCUUACCUCUCAUCUACUUCACCAAUAUUUUUUUAAAAAAUCUUUUAAACAUCCUAGCAAUAACUAAAAAUUGAUUAAAUCAUUCCAAGGCAAUAUGGUUUCUUUCUGAUUAUAAAGGAAGCACUGACUUUUAGGUUUCUAAGAAUUCCCAUCAUAAUGAAAAGACCGCAAGGUACUAAAGGAAGACUAGAGGAAAAUAUAACUUUGCUACAGGCAGUUCAGUGUACAAAUCCUUUUAAUACACAAAAACACAAACUUUUUUUUUUGUUCAGCAGCAUCUCCUAUUUUCACAAUAAAAUCACUGAAACUCAUUGUGUAAGUUUGAACUAAAAAUUUAAUAUAUGCAAAUGUAUAUAACUGAAAGAAGUUGUUAUAUAACUGUAUAUAACUGAAAGAAGCUGUUGCACUUCAAGGACUUAAUUACCAGUGGUGAAGUUUGAUAUAUUGACAGAAUAAUUUAAGCAACACAGAGUUCAUUUCACUUUCCCACCUCUUUCAUUUUUUUAAAGGCCAACUGACAUCCUAAAGUCUGGGCAAAUUGAAUAAAUACAUUUUAAAAAAA